rnacentral:misc_RNA from 1 species
UCCGAGUUGACCCCGGCAGUCCUCCCAGAGUCCUCGGCUCUACCCGGUAGCAACUGGGAGCGGGGGUUGCGCUCGUUGCGGGACUUAACCCAACAUCUCACGACACGAGCUGCCGCCUGUCACUAGCCGUUCGAGCCCAGGUAAGGUUCUUCGCGUUGCGUCGAAUUAAACCACAUACUCCACCGCUUGUGCGGGCCCCCGUCAAUUCCUUUGAGUUUCAGCCUUGCGGCCGUACUCCCCAGGCGGGGUGCUUAACGCGUUAGCUGCGGCACCGAAGGGGUCGCUCCCCCCGGCACCUAGCACCCAUCGUUUACGGCGUGGACUAC